rnacentral:rRNA from 1 species
AGAGUUUGAUCCUGGCUCAGAACGAACGCUGGCGGCGUGCUUAACACAUGCAAGUCGAGCGCACGGAAGGACUUCGGUCCUCGAGUGAGCGGCGAACGGGUGAGUAACACGUGAAUAACGUACCCUCAGAUAUGGGAUAACCAUUCGAAAGGAUGGCUAAUACCGUAUAAGACCACACUGCCUUCGGGCGGAGGGGUCAAAGCUUUAUGCGUCUGAGGAUCGGUUCGCGGUCCAUUAGGUAGUUGGCGGGGUAAUGGCCCACCAAGCCGAAGAUGGAUAGCUGGUCUGAGAGGAUGAUCAGCCACACUGGGACUGAGACACGGCCCAGACUCCUGCGGGAGGCAGCAGUGGGGAAUAUUGCGCAAUGGGCGAAAGCCUGACGCAGCAACGCCGCGUGUGUGACGAAGGCCUGUGGGUCGUAAAGCACUGUUAGGAGGGAAGAAUCAAAUGACGGUACCUCCAGAGAAAGCACCGGCUAACUCCGUGCCAGCAGCCGCGGUAAUACGGAGGGUGCAAGCGUUGUUCGGAAUCAUUGGGCGUAAAGCGUACGUAGGCGGUCUAAUAAGUCUGGUGUGAAAGCCCGGGGCUCAACCUCGGAAUGCCACUGGAAACUGUUAGACUUGAGAGUGAGAGGGGAUAGUGGAAUUCCUGGUGUAGGGGUGAAAUCCGUAGAGAUCAGGAGGAACACCGGUGGCGAAGGCGACUGUCUGGAUCAUAUCUGACGCUGAGGUACGAAAGCGCGGGGAGCAAACAGGAUUAGAUACCCUGGUAGUCCGCGCCGUAAACGAUGUUCACUAGUUGCUGGGAUCCUUGGUGGUUUCGGUGACGCAGCUAACGCAUUAAGUGAACCGCCUGGGGAGUACGGUCGCAAGAUUAAAACUCAAAGGAAUUGACGGGGACCC